CCCCGGGCUCGCGCCCGGGGCUAUACUCUUUCGCCCUUCCAGGGCU
rnacentral:sRNA from 1 species